rnacentral:snRNA from 1 species
AGAUGUGAAGGCAAACUGGCUGUGACAUCUGUCACCCCAUUGAUUGCCAGGCUUGAUUCAGCUGAUCUGGCAGGCUAGGUAGGUGCCCUCUUCCUCCCUCAAUGCUCCACUUGUGUCCCUUCCAAAUCUGUGUACUCAAUCGAAGAGGAGAAGAGGAUGACCUUCCUCAGUAGAGGAUGACUGGUCUUUGGUCAAAGGUAUGUAAGUUGCUGCGCUCUCCUGCUAGAAUGUCCAGACAAGCUCUCAUAUAACUGAAGGCAGGUCUAGUCCCUAAAGACUACAGCACACUGAUCAAAUUCAUAAUCUUUACCCUAAUGUUAAUUGUUUUAUGUCUUU